UACGUAGGGGGCAAGCGUUGUCCGGAUUCAUUGGGCGUAAAGAGCGUGUAGGCGGCCAGGUAGGUCUGGUGUGAAAACUCGAGGCUUAACCUCGAGAUGUCAUCGGAAACCAUCUGGCUAGAGUCCGGAAGAGGAGAGUGGAAUUCCUGGUGUAGCGGUGAAAUGCGCAGAUAUCAGGAAGAACACCAAUGGCGAAAGCAGCUCUCUGGGACGGUACUGACGCUGAGACGCGAAAGCGUGGGGAGCGAACAGG
rnacentral:rRNA from 1 species